UGCCAGCAGCCGCGGUAAUACGGGGGGUGCAAGCGUUGCUCGGAAUCACUGGGCGUAAAGCGUACGCAGGCGGCUUAUUAAGUCGGAUGUGAAAGCCCUGGGCUCAACCCAGGAACUGCAUUCGAAACUGGUAGGCUUGAGUGUGAGAGAGGGAAGUGGAAUUCCAGGUGUAGAGGUGAAAUUCGUUGAUAUCUGGAGGAACACCGGCGGCGAAGGCGGCUUCCUGGCUCACAACUGACGCUCAUGUACGAAAGCGUGGGUAGCAAACAGGAUUAGAUA
rnacentral:rRNA from 1 species